rnacentral:ribozyme from 16 species
UCAUAGAGAGAAAAGAGAGAAUAAGGGACGAACAAUGACCGAUUUAUAGUAUUUUUUGUUUGUUUGUUUUGUCUUUUAUUUAUUUUUUUGUACUUUUUUUUUUUUUAUAAU